AAAGUGAACUCUGCAAACUAGCACCGUAAGUUCGCGAUAAGGUGUGCCGCAGCAAUGCGGUCUCAGCAAAGAGUCCCUCCCGACUGUUUACCAAAAACACAGCACUUUGCCAACUCGUAAGAGGAAGUAUAAGGUGUGACGCCUGCCCGGUGCUCGAAGGUUAAGAGGAUGCGUCAGUCGCAAGAUGAAGCGUUGAAUUGAAGCCCGAGUAAACGGCGGCCGUAACUAUAACGGUCCUAAGGUAGCGAAAUUCCUUGUCGGUUAAAUACCGACCUGCAUGAAUGGCGUAACGAGAUGGGAGCUGUCUCAACCAGAGAUUCAGUGAAAUUGUAGUGGAGGUGAAAAUUCCUCCUACCCGCGGCAAGACGGAAAGACCCCGUGGACCUUUACUACAACUUAGCACUGCUAACGGGAAUAUCAUGCGCAGGAUAGGUGGGAGGCUUUGAAGUAAGGGCUUUGGCUCUUAUGGAGCCAUCCUUGAGAUACCACCCUUGAUGUUUCUGUUAGCUAACUGGCCUGUGUUAUCCACAGGCAGGACAAUGCUUGGUGGGUAGUUUGACU
rnacentral:rRNA from 1 species